UUGGCUGGAAACAGACAUAUUUGUUUAGGAUUUUAAAGCAUAACAUGAAACACAGAAACUGUAAACUAAAAGAGUGAUACAUUUGACAACAUAAAAAUCUAAAACCUCUUCCUUGGGUUUCCUCUUGAAUUCACUUCAGUUCAGCUGUUGUUUCUAAUUGAUUUGAGGCCAGUUGGUAAAGGGGGAGUACCAGUGGGCCCUGGGAAGGCCCGGGGCCUGGGUCUGGAGCCAGCUCUGCCUCUCACUGUAUGACCAGAGGGUAGUCGUCCCCUCUGAACUUCAAUCCUCUGACCUGGAAAACAGGGGACUGGAUAAGCUAUUCCCAGAAGUACUUCUGGUCCUGAUACAGUCCACCCAUCAACCAGGUAGUACCCAUUGUUUGUUCAUCUUUGCCUCUGUGACAUCCAACUCUCAGGGCCUCCGUUCCACCCCAAAGCAGCCUUCUUAGUCCUAUUUCCCUUUUUAAAUAUAAUUUAGUUUUUAUUUGAUUUAUGGACUCAGUCCCAGUCACUAAACUUCAUUCAGCUUGGACGGCUUAUUGAUUUUCAAUAACAGUGGAGCAGAAAAAUAAAGAGAUGACAGCAGCACUUGGCUGCAGACCCAGGGCCAGCCACGGGAGGCAGGAAUUAAUCAUCUCGGGGUGAUCACUCAGGCUGUCCCUGGCAGGGCAGCGACCCAGGGAGCUCAGCCAGCCUGGGACAGUGCAGCAAGCCACGCAAUGAUCGUCUGCUUGUGAUAACGUGAGCUCACCAGAUUGUCUCAUCCAGGUUCUAAUCCCAGCAUUACCUGAGCCACCCUUCCCCCUCAAGGAUGCCUGCACUUUUCUGAAACCCACGAGGAGCUCUGCAGCAAAGAAACAGAACUUUCAGUUUCUGGAGAUUAUGCUGAUUCUCCAGGGUCUUAAAGAAUCCAGAUGAGAUAGCCAGUGCUACAGCUGCCUUCUUGCAACCAUAAGGGAAAGGCUAAGAGAACCAGAGACUGCAGCUCUGACUUGCUUGAACUACUGAGUCAAUGCAAGACACUGCCUACUUCUAGACUCAUGUGAGAAAAAUCCCUGCAGGGCGUCAGGUGGAGAAGUUAUGUAGGAGGAGCUGCUUGCAGGCAUCAGUUACGUCUUGGCUUUUGUUCCUGAGCUGCUUGAGGGGUCUGUGCGUGGGAGGAAGGGAAACAGAACUGGCCUCUGAGACAGGAGAUUCGCCAUGUCUGGGAGCAGGACCCACUCCUCAGCACUCCUCAGAAGGAAGCGGCUGGAUAACUCCAAGGAGCCUGGGUUCUGUGUCCACAGCAUCCAGGCUCAACAAAAAUUCCUGGGCACCACAGAUGGCACAGAGGCCUCGGGGCUGAUAGCAGUGACCAUGUGCAGGCCAGGAGGGCGGCUGCCAGACAAAGGGCUGGGAGGCCUGCACCCUGUGGGCCUGGGGAGGGUGAGACGCCUCUUUCAGUCUCUGAAAUGACUGAGCUUGAGUGGGUACCCCCAUCCUGAUAGGGGUGGGGGAGGUGA